rnacentral:rRNA from 1 species
CAGCAGCCGCGGUAAUACGAAGGGGGCUAGCGUUGCUCGGAAUGACUGGGCGUAAAGGGCGCGUAGGCGGCGGCCAAAGUCAGGCGUGAAAUUCCCGGGCUCAACCUGGGGGCUGCGUUUGAUACUUGGUUGCUUGAGUGGGGAAGAGGGUCGUGGAAUUCCCAGUGUAGAGGUGAAAUUCGUAGAUAUUGGGAAGAACACCGGUGGCGAAGGCGGCGACCUGGUCCUUUACUGACGCUGAGGCGCGAAAGCGUGGGGAGCAAACAGGAUUAGAUACCCCUGUAGUCCCUGUCUCUUAUAC